UCUGGGUUUAUCCCAGCGGUCCCGUCAGAAAAAUAUAACUGACGGCGAGGGUUGCGCUCGUUGCGAGACUUAACCCAACACCUCACGACACGAGCUGACGACAGCCAUGCAGCACCUGUGCAAGGUGUCUCUUUCGAGACUCACUGGCUUUCACCAGCUUAGCAAUGCAUGUCAAGGCCAGGUAAGGUUCUUCGCGUUGCAUCGAAUUAAGCCACAUACUCCACCGCUUGUGCGGGCCCCCGUCAAUUUCUUUGAGUUUUAAUCUUGCGACCGUACUCCCCAGGCGGCACGUUUAACGCGUUAGCUCCGGCGCAGAAGGGGUCGAAUCCUCCCACACCAAACGUGCACCGUUUACUGCUAGGACUAC
rnacentral:misc_RNA from 1 species